rnacentral:rRNA from 1 species
AUGGUGAUGCAGACGGAGAUGGAGAUGGAGCGCAGGGCCUACGCGCGCGUGGGCCUCCUCGGCAACCCCAGCGACGUCUACGGCGGCCGCGCCGUCUCCUUCGCCGUCGCCGGCCUCUGGGCCACCGUCCGCCUCCGCCCCUCCGACCAGCUCCUCGUCCAGCCCCACCCGCGCCACGACCUCGUCGCCUUCCCCUCCCUCCACGCCCUCGUGGAUCGCCUGGACGGCGGCGGGUACUACGGCGGCGUGCGGCUGCUGCUGGCGAUCUGCAGGAUCUUCCACAACCACUGCAAGCACAACGGAAUCGCCCUGGAGGACAAGAACUUCACCCUGUCAUACGACACCAACAUUCCCCGCCAGGCAGGGCUCUCCGGCUCCAGCGCCAUCGUCUGCGCCGCGCUCAGCUGCCUCCUGGAUUUCUACGGCGUCAGGGACAAGAUCAGGGUCGAGGUCAGGCCCAACCUCAUCCUCAACGCCGAGAAGGAGCUCGGCAUCGUCGCCGGGCUUCAGGACCGCGUCGCGCAGGUCUACGGCGGCCUUGUUUACAUGGAUUUUAGCCAGGAGCAUAUGGAUAAGCUGGGCCAUGGAGUGUACACGCCGCUUGACGUUGAUCUGCUCCCCCCUCUGUAUCUCAUCUACGCCGAGAACCCGAGUGACUCUGGCAAGGUCCACAGCAGCGUCAGGCAAAGGUGGCUCGACGGAGACGAGUUCAUAAUAUCGUCGAUGAAAGAAGUCGCGCAGCUCGCGUAUGAUGGCCACAAUGUGUUGUUGCAGAAGAAUUAUACAGAGCUCGCGAGGCUUAUGAACAGGAACUUUGAUCUGCGGAGGCAAAUGUUUGGAGAUGACGCGCUUGGCGAGGUGAACAUAAAGAUGGUUGAGGUAGCGAGGAGCGUCGGUGCUGCGUCGAAGUUCACGGGCAGUGGUGGCGCGGUGGUGGCUCUGUGCCCAGAUGGGGACGCACAGGCAGAGCUCCUGAAGGCCGCGUGCCAGCAGGCCGGCUUCGCCGUGGAGCCGAUUGAAGUCGCCCCGUCGGCCCUGACAGAGGAGCCGAUCAAAGUCACUCCAUCGCAGCUCACGGAGGAAGAGCUGAAAUUUGUUAUGGGGUAG